rnacentral:lncRNA from 1 species
GGCACGUAAGCUGCUGGGAAUCUCGGAGAACACUACAGCACUUAAAAUGGCAGCUCCUGUCUGUGGACACCCUUGAUGUCUAGAAGCUGACUAAGGCUAGGGUUCUGUUGCUCCUUGGCUAAGGGCACCACUUUCAGAUAAAAACAUAGACCUGAAUGGCAUCAUCCAGUAUCCAAGGAAACCAUGAUGAGGACUUCUAAGUACUUUUAGAAUGGAUGUAUAGAUAAUGGUAAGUUAUAUUAUUUGGCAUUUCUUACAUUUUAUUUAUUUCUUUGAUUGAUUAAUUGCAGUUAAAUUACCUUAGCAUGCAAGAACAGAUUUUACAGAUUUUGA